rnacentral:rRNA from 1 species
GACGUAGGGCGCGAGCGUUGUCCGGAAUUAUUGGGCGUAAAGAGCUCGUAGGCGGUUUGUUGCGUCGGCUGUGAAAUCCCGAGGCUCAACCUCGGGUCUGCAGUCGAUACGAGCAAACUAGAGUGUUGCAGGGGAGACUGGAAUUCCUGGUGUAGCGGUGAAAUGCGCAGAUAUCAGGAGGAACACCGGUGGCGAAGGCGGGUCUCUGGGCCGAUACUGACGCUGAGGAGCGAAAGCGUGGGGAGCGAACAGG